CACGUAGGGCGCGAGCGUUGUCCGGAAUUAUUGGGCGUAAAGAGCUCGUAGGCGGCCUGUUGCGUCCGCUGUGAAAGCCCGGGGCUUAACCCCGGGUCGGCAGUGGAUACGGGCAGGCUAGAGGUAGGUAGGGGAGAAUGGAAUUCCCGGUGUAGCGGUGAAAUGCGCAGAUAUCGGGAGGAACACCGGUGGCGAAGGCGGUUCUCUGGGCCUUACCUGACGCUGAGGAGCGAAAGCGUGGGGAGC
rnacentral:rRNA from 1 species